CAAGUCGGCCAGGCGGUCGCGCUCCAUGCCUCUGGCUUCCUGGCCGGGGGCGCGGGGUGAGGAAAGUCCGGGCUCCACAGGGCACGGUGCUGGGUAACACCCAGGCGGGGUAACCCGACGGAAAAGGGCCACAGAAAAGCAGACAGCCGGGGCAGCCUAGGCCGCCCCGGUGAUGGUGAAAAGGUGGUGUAAGAGACCACCGGCGCUCGUGGUGACACGGGCGGCCAGGCAACCCCCACCGGGAGCAAGGCCAAGCAGGGGCGAGUAGGGGCGACCCUAGCGGUCGCCCUGAUGCGGGGCGGCCCGUCCCGUCCGAGCCCCGGGUAGGCCGCUUGAGGCGGCGGGCAACCGCCGUCCCAGAUAGAUGACCGCCCACGACAGAACCCGGCUUAUCGGCCGGCUUGGGUG
rnacentral:RNase_P_RNA from 1 species